rnacentral:rRNA from 1 species
UACGUAGGUGGCAAGCGUUGUCCGGAGUUAUUGGGCGUAAAGCGCGCGCAGGCGGUGCGGUAAGUCUCUGGUGAAAGCGCUCGGCUUAACUGGGCGAGGGCCGGGGAGACUGCCACGCUGGAGGGGAGCAGAGGCGAGUGGAAUUCCGGGUGUAGUGGUGAAAUGCGUAGAGAUCCGGAGGAACACCAGUGGCGAAGGCGGCUCGCUGGGCUCUACCUGACGCUCAGGUGCGAAAGCCAGGGGAGCGAACGGG